UACGUAGGGGGCAAGCGUUGUCCGGAUUUAUUGGGCGUAAAGGGUGCGUAGGCGGCGCGGUAAGUCGGAUGUGAAAUCUCCAGGCUCAACCUGGAGGGGUCAUUCGAUACUGCCGUGACUAGAGUUCGGUAGGGGAGUGUGGAAUUCCUGGUGGAGCGGUGAAAUGCGUAGAUAUCGGGAGGAACACCAGUGGCGAAGGCGGCUUCCUGGCCUGUUCUUGACGCUGAGGCGCGAAAGCUAGGGGAGCAAACGGG
rnacentral:rRNA from 1 species